rnacentral:rRNA from 1 species
CCUACGGGAGGCAGCAGUAGGGAAUAUUGGGCAAUGGAGGCAACUCUGACCCAGCCAUGCCGCGUGCAGGAUGACGGCCCCCUGGGUUGUAAACUGCUUUUAUACGGGAAGAAAAAAUACUACGUGUAGUAUAUUGACGGUACCGUAAGAAUAAGGAUCGGCUAACUCCGUGCCAGCAGCCGCGGUAAUACGGAGGAUCCAAGCGUUGUCCGGAUUUAUUGGGUUUAAAGGGUGCGUAGGCGGAUCUUUAAGUCAGUGGUGAAAGCCUGCAGCUCAACUGUAGAACAGCCAUUGAAACUGAAGAUCUUGAAUAUGGUUAAAGUAGGCGGAAUGUAUCAUGUAGCGGUGAAAUGCUUAGAUAUGAUACAGAACACCGAUAGCGAAGGCAGCUUGCUGAACCAUUAUUGACGCUGAGGCACGAAAGCGUGGGGAGCAAACAGGAUUAGAUACCCUGGUAGUCCACGCCCUAAACGAUGUCAACUGGUUGUUGGGAGGGUUUCUUCUCAGUAACGUAGCUAACGCGUGAAGUUGACCGCCUGGGGAGGUACGGCGCGAGUAGAACGUUAAAUAGAGUAGACGGCGUGAGAGUGCCGACGGACGACGACGAGGGAGGAGG